rnacentral:rRNA from 1 species
GACGAACGCUGGCGGCGUGCUUAACACAUGCAAGUCGAACGGUGAAGCGCCUUCCUUUUUGGUGGGUGUGGAUGAGUGGCGAACGGGUGAGUAACACGUGAGUAACCUGCCCCCUUCUUCUGGAUAACCGCAUGAAAGUGUGGCUAAUACGGGAUAUUCUGGGUCUGUCGCAUGAUGGGUCUGGGAAGGAUAUUGUUUCGGUGGGGGAUGGGCUCGCGGCCUAUCAGCUUGUUGGUGGGGUGAUGGCCUACCAAGGCGGUGACGGGUAGCCGGCCUGAGAGGGUGGACGGUCACACUGGGACUGAGACACGGCCCAGACUCCUACGGGAGGCAGCAGUGGGGAAUAUUGCACAAUGGGCGCAAGCCUGAUGCAGCGACGCCGCGUGAGGGAUGGAGGCCUUCGGGUUGUGAACCUCUUUCGCCAGUGAAGCAGGCCUGCCUCGUUUGUGGGUGGGUUGACGGUAACUGGAUAAGAAGCGCCGGCUAACUACGUG